GUGAGUCAUCGAAUCUUUGAACGCACAUUGCGCCCCUUGGUAUUCCGGGGGGCAUGCCUGUUCGAGCGUCAUUACAACCCUCAAGCUAUGCUUGGUUAUGGGCCGUGCCGGCAACGGCUGGCCCCAAAAUUAGUGGCGGCGCCAUCGUGCUCUCAGCGUAGUAAUUCUUCUCGCUGUUGGGUCCCGGUGGACGCUGGCCAGCAACCCCCAAUUUUCUAUGGUUGACCUCGGAUCAGGUAGGGAUACCCGCUGAACUUAAGCAUAUCAAUAAGCGGAGGA
rnacentral:misc_RNA from 1 species